rnacentral:rRNA from 1 species
AGUUGUCAUGGCUCAGGACGAACGCUGGCGGCGUGCCUAAUACAUGCAAGUCGAGCGCGGGAAGCAAACAGAUCUCCUUCGGGAGUGACGUUUGUGGAACGAGCGGCGGAUGGGUGAGUAUCACGUGGGCAACCUGCCUGUAAGAUCGGAAUAACUCGCGGAAACGUGAGCUAAUACCGGAUGAAGUCUUACGCCACCUGGCGUAAGGAUGAAAGAUGGCCUUUGUGCUAUCACUUACAGAUGGGCCCGCGGCGCAUUAGCUAGUUGGUAGGGUAAUGGCCUACCAAGGCGACGAUGCGUAGCCGACCUGAGAGGGUGAUCGGCCACACUGGGACUGAGACACGGCCCAGACUCCUACGGGAGGCAGCAGUAGGGAAUCUUCCGCAAUGGACGAAAGUCUGACGGAGCAACGCCGCGUGAGUGAUGAAGGUCUUCGGAUCGUAAAACUCUGUUGUCAGGGAAGAACAAGUGACGUUCGAAUAGGGCGUGACCUUGACGGUACCUGACCAGAAAGCCCCGGCUAACUACGUGCCAGCAGCCGCGGUAAUACGUAGGGGGCAAGCGUUGUCCGGAAUUAUUGGGCGUAAAGCGCGCGCAGGCGGUCCUUUAAGUCUGAUGUGAAAGCCCACGGCUUAACCGUGGAGGGUCAUUGGAAACUGAGGGACUUGAGUACAGAAGAGGAGAGUGGAAUUCCACGUGUAGCGGUGAAAUGCGUAGAGAUGUGGAGGAACACCAGUGGCGAAGGCGACUCUCUGGUCUGUAACUGACGCUGAGGUGCGAAAGCGUGGGUAGCAAACAGGAUUAGAUACCCUGGUAUCC